rnacentral:rRNA from 1 species
UACAGAGGGGGCAAGCGUUAUUCGGAAUUAUUGGGCGUAAAGGGCGCGUAGGCGGCCUGGCAAGUGGAAGGUGAAAUCCCUCGGCUUAACCGAGGAACUGCCCUCCAAACUGCUUGGCUUGAGUCCGGGAGAGGUGAGUGGAAUUCCCAGUGUAGCGGUGAAAUGCGUAGAUAUCGAGAGGAACACCUGCGGCGAAGGCGGGUUGCUGGGCUGACACUGACGCUGACAGCGCGAAAGCUAGGGGAGCGAACGGG